rnacentral:rRNA from 1 species
AGCGAACGCUGGCGGCAGGCCUGACACAUGCAAGUCGAGCGGCCGUAGCAAUACGGCAGCGGCAGACGGGAGAGUAACACGUGGGAACGCGCCCUUCGGUUCGGGAUAACUCAGGGAAACUUGGGCUAAUACCGGAUACGCCCUUACGGGGAAAGAUUUAUUGCCGAAGGAACGGCCCGCGUCCGAUUAGCUUGUUGGUGAGGUAACGGCUCACCAAGGCGACGAUCGGUAGCUGGUCUGAGAGGAUGACCAGCCUCACUGGGACUGAGACACGGCCCAGACUCCUACGGGAGGCAGCAGUGGGGAAUAUUGGACAAUGGGCGCAAGCCUGAUCCAGCCAUGCCGCGUGGGUGAUGAAGGCCCUAGGGUUGUAAAGCCCUUUCAGCGGGGAAGAUAAUGACGGUACCCGCAGAAGAAGCCCCGGCUAACUUCGUGCCAGCCGCCGCAGUAAUAC